AUUCCCCUAUUCUGCUCGUCUUUUAUGCCGAGUUGCGAUGAAAAAUUGAAGCCUAAAGUAGGGAUGACAUUUGAAGGGCUUGAGGCUGUGGAGGAGUUCUACAAGUCGUAUGCACAUCAUGUGGGUUUUGGAGUUCGUGUCGGACAACAGAAAAAGUUGAACAAAGAAGUGGUUCAGACAAAGCGUUUCAUGUGCAGCAGGGAAGGAUUUAGGACUGAGAAGAACAAGGAGAUUAAAGACCCAUCAAACCAAUCAAAGAAAAGCCGUAAGAAUACAACCACACGAUGCGGUUGUGAUGCACAUAUCUUCGUCAAGUUGUGUGGCGACAACACCUACAAGAUACAAUCAUGGGUUGGGCACCAUAGCCAUGGCCUUGUAUCACCUGAUAAACGUCACUUGAUCAGAUCAAAUCGUAAAGUUAAUGAGAGGGCAAAAAAUAUGUUGUACACAUGUCACAAAGCAAGCAUAGGUACAUGCCAGGCGUACAGGCUCCUUCAAGUCAGCGAAGGUGGGUUUCCGUAUGUUGGAUGCAGCAAGAGGGACCUGCAAAACUACUACCGUGACCUCAGGCUUAAAAUUAGGAACGCCGAUGCUCAAAUGUUUGUCGCUCAGCUAGCUAGAAAGCAAGAAGUCAAUCCAGCUUUCUUCUAUGAUUUUGUUGUUGACAAAGAGGGGAACUUAAUGUAUGUUUUCUGGGCAGAUGCCAUGAGUAGGAAAAACUAUAGUCACUUUGGGGGUGAUGGUGUGGUAUCUUUCGAUUCUACUUACACCACUAAUCAAUACGACAUGAUCUUUGCACCAUUUACAGGGGUCAAUCAUCACUUACAGAGUGUGUUUUUUGGUGCGGCAUUCUUGUGCAAUGAGCAGACUGAGUCAUAUGUUUGGUUAUUUGAGACCUUCCUUACAGCAAUGGGAGGGGUAGCACCUAGACUCAUUAUA
rnacentral:rRNA from 1 species